UCCUAAUAACACAAGGUCUGCAGCAGAAGGAAAUUUCCUGUUACCUUUAUGCCAUACUAAUUACGGAAAGAUGGCUUCCUCUUUUUGCGCACUUAAACUUUGGAACAGUCUACCAUAUGCCAUUAAAUUGUCUUCUACCUUGUACUCUUUUAAACACCAACUUAAGAAUUAUUUGCUGUGUGAUUAACUUUGUAUAAUGUUAUAUUGCUAAUUUAAAGCUAUGUAAUUACCGC
rnacentral:lncRNA from 1 species